rnacentral:rRNA from 1 species
GAUGAACGCUGGCGGCGUGCCUAAUACAUGCAAGUCGAGCGAACAGACGAGGAGCUUGCUCCUCUGACGUUAGCGGCGGACGGGCGAGUAACACGUGGAUAACCUACCUAUAAGACUGGGAUAACUUCGGGAAACCGGAGCUAAUACCGGAUAAUAUAUUGAACCGCAUGGUUCAAUAGUGAAAGACGGUUUUGCUGUCACUUAUAGAUGGAUCCGCGCCGCAUUAGCUAGUUGGUAAGGUAACGGCUUACCAAGGCGACGAUGCGUAGCCGACCUGAGAGGGUGAUCGGCCACACUGGAACUGAGACACGGUCCAGACUCCUGCGGGAGGCAGCAGUAGGGAAUCUUCCGCAAUGGGCGAAAGCCUGACGGAGCAACGCCGCGUGAGUGAUGAAGGUCUUCGGAUCGUAAAACUCUGUUAUUAGGGAAGAACAAAUGUGUAAGUAACUAUGCACGUCUUGACGGUACCUAAUCAGAAAGCCACGGCUAACUACGUG